rnacentral:rRNA from 1 species
UACGAAGGGGGCUAGCGUUGCUCGGAAUCACUGGGCGUAAAGGGUGCGUAGGCGGGUUUUUAAGUCAGGGGUGAAAUCCUGGAGCUCAACUCCAGAACUGCCUUUGAUACUGAAGAUCUUGAGUCCGGGAGAGGUGAGUGGAAUUCCGAGUGUAGAGGUGAAAUUCGUAGAUAUUCGGAAGAACACCAGUGGCGAAGGCGGCUCACUGGCCCGGUUCUGACGCUGAGGUGCGAAAGCGUGGGGAGCAAACAGG